rnacentral:rRNA from 1 species
GUGACCUCAAAUCAGGUAGGAUUACCCGCUGAACUUAAGCAUAUCAAUAAGCGGAGGAAAAGAAACUAACAAGGAUUCCCCUAGUAACUGCGAGUGAAGCGGGAAAAGCUCAAAUUUAAAAUCUGGCAGUCUUUGGCUGUCCGAGUUGUAAUCUAGAGAAGUGCUAUCCGCGCUGGACCGUGUACAAGUCUCCUGGAAUGGAGCGUCAUAGAGGGUGAGAAUCCCGUCUUUGACACGGACUACCAGGGCUUUUGUGAUGUGCUCUCAAAGAGUCGAGUUGUUUGGGAAUGCAGCUCAAAAUGGGCGGUAAAUUCCAUCUAAAGCUAAAUAUUGGCGAGAGACCGAUAGCGAACAAGUACCGUGAGGGAAAGAUGAAAAGAACUUUGGAAAGAGAGUUAAACAGUACGUGAAAUUGCUGAAAGGGAAACGCUUGAAGUCAGUCGCGUUGUCCAGGGAUCAACCUUGCUUUUGCUUGGUGCACUUUCUGGUUGACGGGUCAGCAUCAAUUUUGACCAUUGGAAAAAGGUCAGGGGAAUGUGGCAUCUUCGGAUGUGUUAUAGCCCUUGGUUGCAUACAAUGGUUGGGAUUGAGGAACUCAGCACGCCGCAAGGCCGGGUUUUUAACCACGUACGUGCUAGGAUGCUGGCAUA